UUGCCAUAUGUUGAUCUUACUAUUUGUGCCCAACAAUGCCAUGUACGUGUAAGAUUUUCCGAAAAUCUUAUACGUGUGCCAGUUGGCAUGAGACAUGCAAGGCCUAGGAAUUGCACUAUAUAAAGGAAAGCACUGUUGCAAGGAAGAUAUACAAACUGAAGACUACUGUACCUUAACUAGCGCUAUAGCAAGUGAUUCAAUUGAAAGGUGUUGUGAAAAAAUGGCAUAUAUUCGAGGAGUUUCAGGCAUGGGUUGUAAUGACAAGUGUGGCUGCACUGUACCAUGCCCCGGUGGUGUUUCUUGCAGGUGUAGUAGCAAAGAUUCAACCGCGAGUGGGGGUGAACACAAGACAUGCACCUGUGGCCAGCACUGUGGGUGCAACC